rnacentral:rRNA from 1 species
CCUACGGGUGGCUGCAGUGGGGAAUAUUGGACAAUGGGCGAAAGCCUGAUCCAGCCAUGCCGCGUGUGUGAAGAAGGCCUUCGGGUUGUAAAGCACUUUCAGUGGGGAAGAAAGCCUUGGGGCUAAUACCCUCGAGGAAGGACAUCACCCACAGAAGAAGCACCGGCUAACUCCGUGCCAGCAGCCGCGGUAAUACGGAGGGUGCGAGCGUUAAUCGGAAUUACUGGGCGUAAAGCGCGCGUAGGCGGUCUGAUAAGCCGGUUGUGAAAGCCCCGGGCUCAACCUGGGAACGGCAUCCGGAACUGUCAGGCUAGAGUGAAGGAGAGGAAGGUAGAAUUCCCGGUGUAGCGGUGAAAUGCGUAGAGAUCGGGAGGAAUACCAGUGGCGAAGGCGACCUUCUGGACUGACACUGACGCUGAGGUGCGAAAGCGUGGGUAGCAAACAGGAUUAGAUACCCGAGUAGUC